CUACGGGGCGCACCAGUGGGGAAUAUUGCACAAUGGGCGCAAGCCUGAUGCAGCAACGCCGCGUGAAGGAUGAAGGCCUUCGGGUCGUAAACUUCUGUCCUUGGGGAAGAAACAAAUGACGGUACCCAUGGAGGAAGCCCCGGCUAACUACGUGCCAGCAGCCGCGGUAAUACGUAGGGGGCAAGCGUUAUCCGGAAUUAUUGGGCGUAAAGAGUGCGUAGGUGGUUACCUAAGCGCAGGGUUUAAGGUAAUGGCUCAACUAUUGUUCGCCCUGUGAACUGGGCUACUUGAGUGCAGGAGAGGAAAGCGGAAUUCCUAGUGUAGCGGUGAAAUGCGUAGAUAUUAGGAGGAACACCAGUGGCGAAGGCGGCUUUCUGGACUGUUACUGACACUGAGGCACGAAAGCGUGGGGAGCAAACAGGAUUAGAUACCCGGGUAGUC
rnacentral:rRNA from 1 species